rnacentral:rRNA from 1 species
AUUGAACGCUGGCGGCAGGCCUAACACAUGCAAGUCGAACGGUAACAGGAAGCAGCUUGCUGCUUUGCUGACGAGUGGCGGACGGGUGAGUAAUGUCUGGGAAACUGCCCGAUGGAGGGGGAUAACUACUGGAAACGGUAGCUAAUACCGCAUAACGUCGCAAGACCAAAGAGGGGGACCUUAGGGCUUCUUGCCAUCGGAUGUGCCCAGAUGGGAUUAGCUAGUAGGUGGGGUAACGGCUCACCUAGGCGACGAUCCCUAGCUGGUCUGAGAGGAUGACCAGCCACACUGGAACUGAGACACGGUCCAGACUCCUACGGGAGGCAGCAGUGGGGAAUAUUGCACAAUGGGCGCAAGCCUGAUGCAGCCAUGCCGCGUGUAUGAAGAAGGCCUUCGGGUUGUAAAGUACUUUCAGCGGGGAGGAAGGGAGUAAAGUUAAUACCUUUGCUCAUUGACGUUACCCGCAGAAGAAGCACCGGCUAACUCCGUG